UACAGAGGGUGCGAGCGUUGUUCGGAAUUACUGGGCGUAAAGCGCGCGCAGGCGGAUCCUGCAAGUCCGGAGUGAAAUCUCACCGCUCAACGGUGAGGCUGCUUUGGAUACUGCGGAUCUGGAGACCGGUAGAGGCUGGUAGAAUUGCAGGUGUAGCGGUGGAAUGCGUAGAGAUCUGCAAGAAUACCCGUGGCGAAGGCGGCCAGCUGGGCCGGGUCUGACGCUGAGGCGCGAAAGCCAGGGGAGCGAACGGG
rnacentral:rRNA from 1 species